GUGGGGAAUCUUGCGCAAUGGGCGAAAGCCUGACGCAGCCAUGCCGCGUGAAUGAUGAAGGUCUUAGGAUUGUAAAAUUCUUUCACCGGGGACGAUAAUGACGGUACCCGGAGAAGAAGCUCCGGCUAACUCCGUGCCAGCAGCCGCGGUAAUACGGAGGGUGCGAGCGUUGUCCGGAUUUAUUGGGUUUAAAGGGUGCGUAGGCUGGAAGGUCAGUCAGCGGUGAAAAGCUAUCGCUUAACGAUAGUCUUGCCGCAGAUACUUCCUUUCUUGGAUGAGGAGGAGGCCACUGGAACGGAUGGUGUAGCGGUGAAAUGCAUAGAUAUCAUCCAGAACACCGAUUGCGAAGGCAGGUGGCUGUACCUUAAUCGACGCUGAUGCACGAAAGCAUGGGGAGCAAACAGGAUUAGAAACCCGUGUAGUCC
rnacentral:rRNA from 1 species